rnacentral:misc_RNA from 1 species
GCAAACUUGGUCAUUUAGAGGAAGUAAAAGUCGUAACAAGGUUUCCGUAGGUGAACCUGCGGAAGGAUCAUUACCGGCAAAGGGGAACCCUUCGGGGCUCCCCGGCUGUACACCUCUGACCCGCGCGUCCCGUCCCUUCCCGGGGUACGGGGCCCGUAGAAGUUACGGUCAUCUGUGUUCACUUCUCACCCCACGUGAAACUUCCACAUUUGCUUCGGCAGCACCGAGCGGGUGACCGCGAGGGUAAGGCUGUCGGAAGCCCUUAACAAAACCCUCCGAUGAAAUGUCAUGCUGUCUGAUAAACCUUUUAUUUGAGAAAUCAAGUAAUGAUAUUAAAACUUUCAGCAACGGAUCUCUUGGUUCCCGCAUCGAUGAAGAACGCAGC